rnacentral:rRNA from 1 species
AUUGAACGCUGGCGGCAUGCCUUACACAUGCGAGUCGAACGGUAACGGGCCUUCGGGUGCCGACGAGUGGCGAACGGGUGAGUAAUGCAUCGGAACGUACCUUUCAGUGGGGGAUAACGUAGCGAAAGUUACGCUAAUACCGCAUAUUCUGUGAGCAGGAAAGCAGGGGAUCGCAAGACCUUGCGCUGAUUGAGCGGCCGAUGUCAGAUUAGCUAGUUGGUGAGGUAAAGGCUCACCAAGGCGACGAUCUGUAGCGGGUCUGAGAGGAUGAUCCGUCACACUGGGACUGAGACACGGCCCAGAUUCCUACGGGAGGCAGCAGUGGGGAAUUUUGGACAAUGGGGGCAACCCUGAUCCAGCCAUGCCGCGUGAGUGAAGAAGGCCUUCGGGUUGUAAAGCUCUUUCGGCCGGGAAGAAAUCGCACAGGCUAAUACCUUGUGUGGAUGACGGUACCGGAAUAAGAAGCACCGGCUAACUACGUGCCAGCCGCCGCAGUAACAC